GACGAACCGUGCGAACGUUAUUCGGAAUCACUGGGCUUAAAGGGCGCGUAGGCGGGUCGGUAAGUCAGGGGUGAAAUCCCACGGCCCAACCGUGGAAGUGCCUCUGAUACUGCCGGCCUCGAGGGGGAUAGGGGCGUGCGGAACUCAGGGUGGAGCGGUGAAAUGCGUAGAGAUCGGAAAGAACACCAACGGCGAAAGCACUCUGCUGGGCCGACACUGACACUGAGAGACGAAAGCUAGGGGAGCGAAUGGG
rnacentral:rRNA from 1 species